rnacentral:SRP_RNA from 1 species
GCCGGGCGUGGUGGCGCACGCCUGUAAUCCCAGCUUCUUGGGAGGCUGAGGCAGGAGAAUCACUUGAACCCAGGAGGUGGAGGUUGCAGUGAGCCGAGAUUGCGCCAUUGCACUCCAGCCUGGGCAACGAGAGUGAAACUCUGUCUUUA